ensembl:ncRNA R13.7 ncRNA
AGUUGCCUACUAGAGAUAUCUGAAACUCAAAAAAAGUGACCCAGAUAAUAAUUUCAAAUGGCGCCCGUAUGUCCUGAAAAAUAUGGAACAUCUUGAGCAUUCUUGCGCUAUUUUUC